UACGUAGGUGGCAAGCGUUGUCCGGAAUUAUUGGGCGUAAAGCGCGCGCAGGCGGUCCUUUAAGUCUGAUGUGAAAGCCCACGGCUCAACCGUGGAGGGUCAUUGGAAACUGGGGGACUUGAGUACAGAAGAGGAAAGCGGAAUUCCACGUGUAGCGGUGAAAUGCGUAGAGAUGUGGAGGAACACCAGUGGCGAAGGCGGCUUUCUGGUCUGUAACUGACGCUGAGGCGCGAAAGCGUGGGGAGCAAAC
rnacentral:rRNA from 1 species